UCACCGCCUCGCCCCGCCCAGACCGGAUGACGGAGCGUUCCGGGAGCCUCUGGCCCGGGCCUCCCCAGCCUGGCGCGCGCGGUCAAGGCUCAUCCAGCAAAGGCAGGAAGAAGUAGUUUUCCCAGGCUGUGGAACGGUUUGGGAGGCCGUGUUCCAUGAGAACUCCACGCUCUCCCCGGCAUACGCCCUGGGGUCCCAGCUUAGCUGCAAAGUAAAAGAUGUGCACCAGGAGCAGAGUAGGAGCCAGGCACAAGAAGCAUCACUUUGGGAGAGGAAGACGGCUGAUUCUGUAUCUGAGACAGAGAAAACACAAGGCAAGCCCAGAAUAUCUUAUUGUGCGAGAAUACAGUGAGAUGCUCAAAGAAUGGCAGAGGUGAGAAAGGACACAGACUGAAAGCGAUCCUUCUGGCCAAAUUUGGGACAAGUGGAGCUUCGGCCGAAUGAGUCCAAGGAACUUCCUGUACUUCCCACUUGGAGAGAAGGGGGAGCAGAAGCCCCCCCAGGGGCACGAGCCAGGUCAGCUGCUGUCACUGGAGAGACAUGGCUGGACAGCUGGCAUCACAGGCUGAGGCCCACCCACACUGAGGAGGGGGCAAUCUGCUUUAUCCAGUCCACAUACCCAAACGUGAAUCUCUGCGGAAACACCCUCGCGGACACACUCAGAAAUACCGUUUACCCAGCGCCUGGGUGCCCUGGGAGCCAGCAAGUUGAUGUGUAAAGUUAAGCACCACACGCGGUACGCCUGACCGCUCGGCUAAUGUGCCGGCGCCUCUGUCCUCAACGUGUUGGAAACAACGUCGGCUUGCAAAGCUUAACUCACUCUCACCUCUGAUCUUUCCAAGAAUACUCCUUAACAUUGUGUACAACUGUGCAGCCGUUUCUCUCGCGCUCCUUGCUGCCGUUAGGGAAAACACAGACGAGAAGUCCCUCCUGCAUGCUAAACUUGGCCUCAUCUGAUCAUCCGAGCAGCUCUUCUCGGUCUCUUGGGUGGCCAUCUCCUCCUUCCUCACACCUGGCGUGGAGGUGACAGGUGUCUAGAAGUCAUGGAAGAAGAAAGUGUGAGGGUGGCUGGGGCAGGUUCUCUGCUCACCCGCGGCUUCUACCGUGUUUUGUCGGGUUCCCCACGGACCUCCUAAGCUCCUUCUUGGAGGGAAAAGAAACAGGAUUGAGCACGAAACGACAUGUCAUUAUUUCAGGGGCAGUCACGCCUGGAUGACUCUACGUGGCUGUAGGCUACCCCAUCUCCUCUAAAAUAUAAUGAAAUUGAAGGGAAAAAAAGGCUAAACACCCCAAAACCUGAAGAGAAAGGUGAUCAGGGUGUCAAAGGUCAAAGGUAUGCAGUGGCACGCUUAAUGCAUUUUCCUAUCUUCUCAGUAUCUUUCUCACUGAAAAAUCUGAUGACGAGUUGGCCAGUUUUUGUUUUAAAUAAAACAGAUUUGAGUCAGAGGCCAUCUAUCUUAUCUGUGCCUUGCUCUCCCACAAAGAAAACAUCUUAGCAAUUUCCAUACGAAGGUACAAUUUCUUACCCAGUCUAGAGCAUCUCUUCUUAAACAUUAUGACCUCAUGCAGAAUGUUUUACACGUAUCUAUUCAGACUUUAAUAAAAACAGCCACCACUUA